rnacentral:tRNA from 1 species
AAGAAAGUGGCAGAUAGGUGAUGUGUUCGGCUUGAAACCGGGAAAAGGGGGUUCGAUUCCCUCCUUUCUUG